rnacentral:misc_RNA from 1 species
AUAAGCAUAUAGUUCAUGUACAGCGAAGAACGACCAACGAAGACAGCAUUCCGUAGUGAUUCGGCAAUCCUGGAGAACUGCAGUCUGCUUGCAUUCAGAUGCCAAGUGAGGGCAACCCGACAAAUUGCACCAGUAAGCUUGGACGCUUGCAAGGACCCACACUGCAAAUUUCAACAAUUCGACGACGGUCUGCAACCAUUAAAAGCAUAUCAGUGGGAAUAUUCGGGGGAAAAUGGACCAGAAAACUGGCGAGGAAUAUGUACAACGGGACAAAAACAAUCGCCGAUUAAUAUCGUAACGAAAGAUGUAAUAAUAAUUGAUCUCGGUGCUCUUAAAUUUAACCGAUAUGAUGUCGCGUUUCCUGCCACAUUUACCAAUAAUGGGCAUUCUGUGGAAAUUCGAGUAAAUGGUAUGCCACCUUUUCUUAGUGACGGAAAUCUGACAAUGUUUUAUGAUCUAGAGCAAAUGCAUUUUCAUUGGAGCGCAGAGCAUACUGUGGACGGUUUACGCGACACAUUGGAAUUGCAUUUAGUGCAUUACAUGAGAAAUUAUGGGAAUGUUAGCGUAGCUGCGCGUUAUACAAACGGAAUUGCUGUGGUUGCCGUUCUAUUUGAGUUGAGCACUGAUGAUAAUCUGGAUCUCUUGCCGAUUGUACAAGCGACGAAGAUAGUAUCGAAUCAGACUGAAAAGAGAAUACACAUGAGACAUAAAGUAAAACCUUUAUCGUUUCUACCAAAGAAUCAUAUGACGUAUUACCAUUACGAGGGAUCUUUAACUACACCCUUAUGCCAAGAAUCUGUAUUGUGGUUUGUUAUGACUGAGAAACUUAAAGUUUCGGAAGCGCAGAUGAACGUUUUCAGACAAGUGAAAGGCAGCCAUGGCCCGUUAAAGUUUAAUUAUAGACCUAUUCAAAAUCUCGGCAACAGAAAAGUCAUCGCAUAUCAUCAUAUAGAAAAAGAUGUAAACUCGUCCUCGAGUGUUGUCUCGAAUGUCUAUCUGGUUCUCAAUAUUCUUCUAGUCAAACUUUUAUGUGACUUUUACUACUUUUAAUAUGAAAUAAUUAAGCGCUAAGCCAGAUUGAUGUUACUUGCAACGCGCUGUGACAAUUCUGAGAUUACUUAUUGCACUGUUUUGAAGAACGAGACAUGUAUAAUUUAUUUUCCUCAAAAAACUUGUUUUCAGAAAAUAAAUAGCACAGUUACAUGACACAGAGAUUUAUAUUAUAAAAGGUUCACAAAGUUCUCUUGUUGGAAAUUUGUUAGAAAAUUAUAUCUGCAUUAUAGUAAAUAUUGAAUAAUGGAGAAAAAUAAUGGAAUAAAAUGUAUUCGAAUUA